rnacentral:rRNA from 1 species
UACGAAGGGGGCUAGCGUUGCUCGGAAUCACUGGGCGUAAAGCGCACGUAGGCGGCUUCUUAAGUCAGGGGUGAAAUCCUGGAGCUCAACUCCAGAACUGCCUUUGAUACUGAGGAGCUUGAGUCCGGGAGAGGUGAGUGGAACUGCGAGUGUAGAGGUGAAAUUCGUAGAUAUUCGCAAGAACACCAGUGGCGAAGGCGGCUUACUGGUCCGGAUCUGACGCUGAGGCGCGAAAGCGUGGGGAGCAAACAGG